CAACUCUUAUGCUACACCGUUGGAUCAAGAAAUGGACGUCCGAGAUUCGUCCACGUCACCCUGAGUUAAAAUUUAACUCGCAGAUUCACUCGUGAGUUAAAAAUUUACCGAGAGUUAAAUUUUAACUCAUGGUGACGUGGACGAAUCUUAGACGUCCAUUUCUCGAUCGAACGGUGUAGGAUGAAAGUUG
rnacentral:pre_miRNA from 1 species